AGAUCCCUGCCUGGGAUUUGCACUUUCCGUAGCUGGAAGAGGAACAACAUGCUGGCUGAUGCCUGCAUGACUUCCUCCAAGGUGUCAAGGAAGGAGAGGGGACCAGCUCAGACUUCAAUGCUUCACAUUCAGAUGUUUGAGUGAUGACAGAGGUAUCCCACCAUGGCCAUCUCUUCUUGGAGCAAGAGUCUAGGAGCAUCAUCCUGGAGGACCUCUGCUGGCUUCAGUGAAAUGACUGACUUUUUCCAGUCUGCAUCUCAGCAUAUGACCCAAAGAAGAGCAUGAAGGAUGCCCUGGAGAUCCUGCUAGAGACUAUGAAAAAUGGGAGCACCUUCCAAGGGUGGUUCAUAUCUUAGAAAGGCAGAAUCAGCUUCCGCCCAGAAAGGAAAUCUCAGAUGCUGGAAAUGUGACUGAACCAUGCCAUUUGCUCCGGGCUCUGGAUCCCAAAUGCCUUGUCCCACCCAUGAGUUUCUUCUUGGUCCAUGGUCCGAGUGAGGCAUUUCUGGGGUGCACCCUGUAGCCCCCCGGGAAUAACUUGUGUUCUGGAGGAGUGAAGCGGUGCAUCCCGUGCUGCGCAGAGCUCUGAGGGCAGCUCUUCUCCCCCGACUGGCAUAGAGUGAUCUCAGCUUUCCACCUGAGACAUGGUAGGUUUGGGCUCUGCUCCUGGGCAAAGAUAUAAUUUUUUUGAGACCUCGGGACUUGAUUUGCUAAAAUUGAGUGGCUUUUCUGAGUCUGUAAGUUGUGAAAGGAAUUUGAAAUACCCAGUUGGUCUGCCUUUUCCUCCUUGUAAUAUGGCUAGUCCUGUAUUGAACCAGCCCCUGACAGGAACCCCUAUGGCGAUUUGGCUUGGGGAAUAAUAAAAACCCCAACCAACCUCUUUUUGUUUUUAUAACCCCAAAUAUUUCUGUCCUAAAACUAUGAGCAAUAAAACUCUUCUUUUUGCCAAGA